rfam:Salmonella enterica subsp. arizonae serovar 62:z4,z23:--, complete genome.
CUCAAUGGCGGGCCGGGCGGGGGCGUCGCAAGACGCGCCGGUGUCCAGUAAGGCCGGUAAGGCUAACCCCGUCCGGUUCCGCCACCCGU